rnacentral:rRNA from 1 species
UACGGGGGGAGCAAGCGUUGUUCGGAUUUACUGGGCGUAAAGGGUGCGUAGGCGGCGCGGUAAGUCGGGUGUGAAAUCUCGGAGCUUAACUCCGAAACUGCAUUCGAUACUGCCGUACUUGAGGACUGGAGAGGAGACUGGAAUUUACGGUGUAGCGGUGAAAUGCGUAGAUAUCGUAAGGAAGACCAGUGGCGAAGGCGGGUCUCUGGACAGUUCCUGACGCUGAGGCACGAAGGUCAGGGGAGCAAACGGG